UACGUAGGCAGCAAGCGUUGUUCGGAAUUACUGGGCGUAAAGAGUGUGUAGGUGGUGUCGUAAGUUUGGUGUGAAAUCUCCCGGCUUAACUGGGAGGGUGCGCCGAAGACUGCGAUGCUGGAGUAUGGGAGAGGAAAGCGGAAUUCCUGGUGUAGCGGUGAAAUGCGUAGAUAUCAGGAGGAACACCCGUGGCGAAGGCGGCUCUCUGGUACGUGACUGACGCUGAGACGCGAAAGCGUGGGGAGCAAACAGG
rnacentral:rRNA from 1 species